rnacentral:rRNA from 1 species
UACUUAAUAGCUAGCUUACAUAACCAACCUUAACAAACAAUAUUAAUACCUUAAAAUUUACUUACUUUUACCUAAAAUUAAAACAUUUAUCUUCUCUAGUACAGGCGAUAGAAAAAGAAACAUAUAUUUUCAAAGCUAUAAUUAAAGUACCGCA